rnacentral:rRNA from 1 species
GAUGAACGCUGGCGGCGUGCCUAAUACAUGCAAGUCGAGCGAACAGACCAGGAGCUUGCUCCUCUGACGUCAGCCGCGGACGUGAGACUAACACAUGGUUAACCUACCUAUAAGAUUGGGACAACUUCGGGAAACCGGUGCUAAUUCCGGAUAAUAUAUUCAUCCGCAUGGUUCAAUAGUGAAAGACGGUUUUGCUGUCACUUAUAGUUGGAACCGCGCUGCAUUAGCUAGUUGGUAAGGUAACGGCUUACCAGGGCAACGAUGCGUAGGCGACCUGAGAGGGUGGUCCGCCACGCUGGAACUGAGGCACGAUCCAGGGUCCUACGGAAGGCGGAGAUAGCGAAUCUUCCGCAAUGGGCGAAAGACUGACGAAGCAACGCCGCGUGGGUGAUGAAGGUCUGCGGAUCGUAAAACUCUGUUAUUGGGGUAGAACGAUUGUAUAAGUAACUAUGCACGUGUUGACGGUACCUAAUCAGGAAGCCACGGCUAACUACGUG